UACGGGGGGGGCAAGCGUUGUUCGGAAUUACUGGGCGUAAAGGGCUCGUAGGCGGCCAACUAAGUCGGACGUGAAAUCCCUCGGCUUAACCGGGGAACUGCGUCCGAUACUGGAUGGCUUGAGGUUGGGAGAGGGAUGCGGAAUUCCAGGUGUAGCGGUGAAAUGCGCAGAUAUCAGGAAGAACACCCGUGGCGAAGGCGGUUCUCUGGGACGGUACUGACGCUGAGACGCGAAAGCGUGGGGAGCGAACAGG
rnacentral:rRNA from 1 species